rnacentral:rRNA from 1 species
UACGUAGGGUGCGAGCGUUGUCCGGAAUUAUUGGGCGUAAAGAGCUUGUAGGUGGUUUGUCGCGUCUGCUGUGAAAAUCCGAGGCUCAACCUCGGACUUGCAGUGGGUACGGGCAGACUAGAGUGUGGUAGGGGAGACUGGAAUUCCUGGUGUAGCGGUGGAAUGCGCAGAUAUCAGGAGGAACACCGAUGGCGAAAGGCAGGUCUCUGGGCC